rnacentral:rRNA from 1 species
GCUUACGGCCAUACCACCCUGUCUGCGCCAGAUCUCGUCUGAUCUCGGAAGCUAAGCAGGGUCGGGCCUGGUUAGUACUUGGAUGGGAGACCGCCUGGGAAUACCAGGUGCUGUAAACU